rnacentral:rRNA from 1 species
UACGGAGGGUGCAAGCGUUAAUCGGAAUUACUGGGCGUAAAGCGCGCGUAGGCGGUUUUCCAAGUCGGGCGUGAAAGCCCCGGGCUCAACCCGGGAAAUGCGCUCGAAACUUGAAGACUGGAGGCCGGAAGAGGGUAGUGGAAUUCCCAGUGUAGAGGUGAAAUUCGUAGAUAUUGGGAAGAACACCGGUGGCGAAGGCGGCCAACUGGACGAAUACUGACGCUGAGACUCGAAAGCGUGGGGAGCAAACAGG